AAUGGCAUUGAAUGGAUUUCCUGGAAGAUUCAAACUUCAAAGUGGAUUUAUAGUGAAAAGAAAGAAGGAACAAAGGUGGGAGUUUUGUCUGGGAAGAUAUGUGGACAUGCCUUCAAAACUUUAAAGAGCUGGAAAGUGCAAUGGUGACCUCAGCCAGAAUUCCUACCUGUGAACCAGCACAACCAACCACAGGCAGCCUGAGCACCAGAGGAAAUUUCCAGAGAGGACAUAAAACAGCUUCAUCUGGAUGGAGGCUUGUGCCAAUGUCAAGAAUUACACAGACAGUACAAUACAGGGAAGUGUGGCCUAUGUUUGGCACCAGAAGGUCCCAAAGUUCAUGGAUUAUUCUUUCCUUAGGAAAUAAACAGUUGGAAAUCAAAUGGGUAAAAGGAAAAGUACUCGACCAAGUUUCUUGAAGGAGUUGUCUAUAGAACUGUACUCUACUCCCUACUUCUGUUUCAUUCCUCCUGGAGCUGCUCUCUCCAAAGCCAUUGGUGCUUGCUAACUAUCAAAGGAAGGAAGGAAGAAGCUGGAGUGGCCAAAGAGGCCUCACUGGUCACUGGGGGAAACGGACUGUGUCACUAAGGACUCAGUGUGCUUGGUGCCUCAGAUUGGAUCAGCUCUUGGGGCCUAAUCAGGAUACUAUAACUCUUAGAGGUGGAUAUAUAAAUCAGAAUUUGAAUUAUUCAUUGCUAAAGUAGCUAUUUAUUUCUAGCUUCUGGAUUUUAUAGGGCUAUCAUCUAUGCCCCCUAUUCCUGAUACAAAAGAAAUUGAGUUACUAUAUUUCUAUAAUUUUUAAAUAUUACUGAUAGAUUACACCAUGAAUUAAUUACUUUUUUUGCAGAACAACCAGUUUUUGAAAAACCAGUACUAUAUUAAAUAUGCUCAAUUAUAAGAUACUUCCAAAUGUUAUAAACAAAGAAGCAUGAAGAUAUACACAUCUCUUCUCAGAAAUGACAAAAUACUGUAAUCAUCCAGAGGUUCAGAUAGAUAGAUAGAUAGAUAGAUAGAUAGAUAGAUAGAUAGAUAUGAGUUUUUAUUUCAAGUUACCCUAACGGAGAGUAAAGUUUUAAUAUUUAAAAACUAAGAAAUAGUUAUUAAUUCAAUAUAUAUUUAUCUGUCACAUGCCAGGCACCAUGAUAGAUGGUGAGGACAUCAUGAUAAACUAGACAGCCUCUUCUUGCAUGACAGCUCAGUGAUAAAAACUGAGGUACUCUAGUUCAGGCCCUAGAGCAGCUCAAAGAACAGUGACACCACCAUGUCAGAGAACAUUCAGGUGACACCACCAUUCCAGAACAUUCUGGAAGAUUGACAGUUUCUCUGCUCAGAACUACAUGGGACUAACAUUGACAAGGGCUCACUCUUUGGGCUUCCUCUUUCUAGGCUCCAUGUGCACCAUCCUUUUUUGUGCCCACAUUGUCUUCUUAAGACAAAUAAAAAUAAUAGCAUUGAUUAGGCUUCA
rnacentral:lncRNA from 12 species